GAGAACUAUUUUUCGCUUCGGAGUAAUGUUCAUUCUGUAGUCGAAGCUAUGGAACUUGAAUAAUCUGCUAUAUUUCAGAGUAAAUCCUUUCAUCACAGUCAUCUAUAAGUGCUUCUAAGGCUCCUCUUUCUGGUAAAGGAAUAAAUGUUUGAGAGGAAGUUGAAAGACCUAUCAACACAGAUAUACAGUCCUGCAUUGAGAUCAUUUACUUUGACAUUCUAAUCCCCAAGAGCUAAUUAUUUUGCACGCAUUCCAUUCAACAAAAAUGUUUGAAAUAUAAAUUGAUUGUGAGUGUUUUGGCCAGGGAGUUAAAGAAUAUUUGUGUAUGCUAUUUCUUUUCAUUAUCUUUCAAAUUUUGGUAAUUAUUAACUGACAAUGA